CAGCAGCCGCGGUAAUACGAGUGGUGCAAGCGUUAUUCGGAAUUAUUGGGCGUAAAGGGUGUGCAGACGGUUUGUUAAGUCACUUGUUAAAUUCUCCGGCUUAACCGGAGGCCAGCAUGUGAAACUAGCAGACUAGAGGGUGAGAGAGAGAAGUGGAAUUCUCGGAGUAGCGGUAAAAUGCGUAGAUCUCGAGAGGAACACCAAUGGCGAAGGCAGCUUCUUGGCUCACUCCUGACGUUCAUACACGAAAGCGUGGGGAGCAAACAGGAUUAGAUACCCCUGUAGUCCCAGUCUCUUAUAC
rnacentral:rRNA from 1 species